rnacentral:rRNA from 1 species
AGUCGAGGGGCAGCAUUUUAGUUUGCUUGCAAACGUGAAGAUGGCGACCGGCGCACGGGUGAGUAACACGUAUCCAACCUGCCGAUAACUCCGGAAUAGCCUUUCGAAAGAAAGAUUAAUACCGGAUAGCAUACGAAUAUCGCAUGAUAUUUUUAUUAAAGAAUUUCGGUUAUCGAUGGGGAUGCGUUCCAUUAGUUUGUUGGCGGGGUAACGGCCCACCAAGACUACGAUGGAUAGGGGUUCUGAGAGGAAGGUCCCCCACAUUGGAACUGAGACACGGUCCAAACUCCUACGGGAGGCAGCAGUGAGGAAUAUUGGUCAAUGGGCGAGAGCCUGAACCAGCCAAGUAGCGUGAAGGAUGAAGGCUCUAUGGGUCGUAAACUUCUUUUAUAUGGGAAUAAAGUUUUCCACGUGUGGAAUUUUGUAUGUACCAUAUGAAUAAGGAUCGGCUAACUCCGUGCCAGCAGCCGCGGUAAUACGGAGGAUCCGAGCGUUAUCCGGAUUUAUUGGGUUUAAAGGGAGCGUAGGUGGAUUGUUAAGUCAGUUGUGAAAGUUUGCGGCUCAACCGUAAAAUUGCAGUUGAAACUGGCAGUCUUGAGUACAGUAGAGGUGGGCGGAAUUCGUGGUGUAGCGGUGAAAUGCUUAGAUAUCACGAAGAACUCCGAUUGCGAAGGCAGCUCACUAGACUGUCACUGACACUGAUGCUCGAAAGUGUGGGUAUCAAACAGGAUUAGAUACCCUGGUAGUCCACACAGUAAACGAUGAAUACUCGCUGUUUGCGAUAUACAGUAAGCGGCCAAGCGAAAGCAUUAAGUAUUCC